rnacentral:lncRNA from 1 species
AAACUUUAUCCCUCAGUGGACUCAAUUUCGGCAUGACAUCAGAAUCAGAGUAACAUUUCAUUAAAAGGAAGAAAAGAGUGGUUCACUCACCAUUGCCUGGGCUGACAGGUGAAUUAAACUGAAAGAUAUGCCUGCCAGUCUAUAUAUAAAAAAUUGAGACCGCUACCUCCUACUCAGAAUGACUACUAACAAUAAAAAAGAAAAUAACGUGUUGAAAAGGAUAGAAAGAGGUUUGAACCUUUGUACAUUUUAAUUUAGAGAGAAACAGCUAACACAAGAGUCUUAGGAGACACAGCAAUGAAAAGGGAGCCAUUCCCGAGAAGCUGCCUUAUCACAAGGUGGAUAGGGAGAACAAUGUUCAGGGUCUAUGUAUCCGUUCUCCUUCCCAAGAAUGUCCACUACCUGAAGGCAAAGCUCUGGUUUGAUUUAUUCACUGUUGUUUUCCAACACCUAGCACAGAACCUGACAAAUCAUAGACACUCACGAAAUAUUUGUUCAGUUAAUUAGUCUGUUAAUAAAGAGAAGAUACUGCCAUUGGCUCAAAUAGU